UUGUAUCGUGUCCUUUCUUCCCAUAGUUCAUCUACUUACCUGUGUGUUAUAUGUCAUUGGGCAGUUGAAACUGUAUGGAAGAUAAUGGAGAUGAAUCAAGACAGUAACUUGGACGAUGUGGACAAAUUAUCAAAUACUGAGAGAGCUCAAUUAGAAAACAAGAGGGGAAGAUGGGGAGCAAAGUUAGACUAUAUGCUUUCUAUGGUGGGUUUUUGUGUUGGACUCGGUAACAUCUGGAGAUUUCCGUAUCUUUGUAUGAGAAAUGGAGGAGGUGCUUUUCUGAUCCCAUUUAUAUUUUUCCUCCUCGCUGCUGG